AUUGAACGCUGGCGGCAGGCCUAACACAUGCAAGUCGAGCUAGCGGCGGACGGGUGAGUAAUGUAUGGGGACUGCCCGAUAGAGGGGGAUAACUACUGGAAACGGUAGCUAAUACCGCAUACUAUCGGAUAACCCAUAUGGGAUUAGCUAGUAGGUGAGGUAAUGGCUCACCUAGGCGACGAUCCCUAGCUGGUCUGAGAGGAUGAUCAGAAACACUGGGAUGGAGACACGGCCCAGACGCCUACGGGGGCAGCAGUGGGGAAUAUUGCACAAUGGGCGCAAGCCUGAUGCAGCCAGGCCGCGUGUAUGAAGAAGGCCCUAGGGUUGGAAAGUAUUUUUGGCAGAGAAGCGGUAUCUGCAGAAUAAGCACCGGCUGACUACGUGCCAGCAGCCGCGGUAAUAC
rnacentral:rRNA from 1 species